rnacentral:rRNA from 1 species
GACGAACGCUGGCGGCGCGCUUAACACAUGCAAGUCGAGCGAAGCGGCGGACGGGUGAGUAACACGUGCGUAACCUGCCUUAGACAUUGGGCUAGCCUCGGGAAACCGGGAUUAAUACCAACUGGUCUAAGGUGGGCUCGCGUCCCAUUAGCUAGUUGGUGGGUAACGGCCCACCCAGGCGACGAUGGGUAGCCGGCAUGGGGGGGUGAACCGCAACAUUGGAACUGAGAAACGGUCCAAACCCUACGGGAGGCAGCAGUUGGGAAUAUUGCACAAUGGAGGGAGCUCGGAUGCAGCGACGCCGCGUGAACGAAGAAGGCUUUCGAGUCGUAAAGUUCUUUUAUAUGGGAAGCGGUACCAUAAGAAAAAGCCCCGGCUAACUACGUGCCAGCAGCCGCGGUAAUUC